rnacentral:rRNA from 1 species
UCAUUUCAAGCCGCAUGGAUUCAUUUUGAAAGGCGCUGUACGUUGCCGAUGAUGGAUGGACCCGUUGUGUAUUAGCUAAUUGGUCGAGGUCACGGACUCACAAAAGCCACGAUCCAUAUCCGACGGUGGAGACGGGUGGAUACGUGCCAACUUGGGACUGAGACACAGUCCAAACUCCUACGGGAGGCAGCAGUCUGGAAUCUUCGGCAAUGGACGAAAGUCUGACCGACGCAACGACGCGUGAGUGAAUAAGGUUUUCGGAUCCUAGAACUCUGGUUAGUUAACAGAAAGAACAAAGGUGAUAGUAACUGAUCGCCCCUUGACGGUAUCUAACCACAGAGCCACGGCUAGCUACCUGCCAGCAGCCUACGGUAAUACGUAGGUGGCAACCGUUGUCCUGAUUUAUUGGGCGUAAACCGAGCGCAUGCGGUUUCUUAAGUCUGAUGUGAGAGCCCCCCGCUCAACCGGGGAGGGUCCUUGGAAACUGGGNGACUUAAGGGCAAAAGAGAAUACNGGAAUUCCCUGUGUAAUCGGUAAAAUGCGUAAAUAUAUGGAGGAGCCCCAGNGGGCUAACNCGGCUCUCUAGUGCUGUAACUGNNGCCUAAAGGCUCGAGANCNNGGCGGGGCUNACAUGGGUUGG